rnacentral:lncRNA from 1 species
UCAUAAGCUAUCUAUGUAUGUUUUUGUUGUUGUUUUUGGAGUUUAAUCAAGCUAUUAAGCUCCUUUGUGCAUGGUUAAGGGUUUAUGCAUGUUUUGGUAAGGUUGGGUGCAUGUUUUGGGGUGUUUGGAAGGUUUGGGAGGCUUGAAUGCAUGAGAAGCUGAGUUCUGCCCUUCUGGGAAGAACUCAGGUUCGGCCGCCGAAGGUGGUUUCGGCCGC